CAUCUAAGCACGAAACUUGCCCCGAGAUGAAUCUUCCCUGAGCCUUUAAGGCUCCUGAAGGAACGUUGAAGACGACGACGUUGAUAGGCCGGGUGUGUAAGCGCAGCGAUGCGUUGAGCUAACCGGUACUAAUGAACCGUGAGGCUUAACCUUACAACGCCGAAG
rnacentral:rRNA from 1 species